CAAGCGUUGUUCGGAUUUACUGGGCGUAAAGGGCGCGUAGGCGGCGUGACAAGUCACUUGUGAAAUCUCUGGGCUUAACCCAGAACGGCCAAGUGAAACUGUUGUGCUAGAGUGCAGAAGGGGCAAUCGGAAUUCUCGGUGUAGCGGUGAAAUGCGUAGAUAUCGAGAGGAACACCAGAGGUGAAGACGGGUUGCUGGGCUGACACUGACGCUGAGGCGCGAAAGCCAGGGGAGCAAACGGG
rnacentral:rRNA from 1 species